UCAAAAACACCAUAAAACUUCCACCUCAAAUUUCUCCUUACCUAGCUCAAGAGGGAGUGAGUCCUUUUAGGGCAAGGUUGCUGGGUUGGAGGGCUACAAAACCAUACCAAGCUUGCCCGGAUUGGUGGCCGGAGGAGGAAGUUCCGGCGAAGGGAAGCUCGGGGCAGCCCUUGCUUUCGGGCGGCACCGCUCUCUCACGGCGGCGCUAGGGAGGCUGUCACCGGUCUAGAAAUGUUGGUGGGAGGGAGACCGACCGAACGGGACCGGUCCGGCGGCGAACGGAGGUCGGACGGCGGCGGGAGGACGGCCGGAAUUUUGCUAGGUGUAGAGAGAAGAAAAUCGGGUGAGAAGAGAAGAAAAAAUCGGGAGGGAGGGAGAAGAGAAAGAAGAAGAAAUGGGUUGGGCUCGGCCCAGCCGACCCAACACCCCUUUUAACCCAUAAUUCCAAAAUUCAACACCCCGAAAAAUAAUACCCGAAUAAAAAUUACCUUUUACUAGCUAAAAUUUACUAUUUUUACCGUCGUCGUAUUUUCCUCAUACGAAUAAUCCUCCGCACAUAAUCGUCCCCGAAACCCCUCUAGGGACCAAUUAAACUAUUUACUCAAUGAUCGAGACGGUAAAAUUCUUAUUAUAAUCACGCUAGUAAAUAAGGUAAAAAUAUAAGGGUCGGGAUGUGACAUCCUAAAUACAAAUAUACACUUCCUAACAACACCACAACAUUGCAAUUAACCGGAAAAUAAAAGCAAACACAAAAUAAAACUAAAGCUCAAAAACGUACUUGAGGAGGAGGAGGGAGGACCGGAGCAGCAGGAGGAGGAGGCCGGAGCAGGAGGAGGAGGAGGAGGAGGAGGAGGCCGGGCGGAGAGGGAGCGGAGGCCGGGCGGAGAGGGAGAGGAGAGGGAGCGGAGGCCGGGCGGAGAGGGAGCGGAGGCCGGGCGGAGAGGGAAGGGAGAGGGAGCGGAGGCGGAGAGGGAGAGGGAGCGGAGGCGGGAAGGGGAAAUUCGGAG
rnacentral:lncRNA from 1 species